UUGAAAUUAUUUCUAUUCAAUCAACUAAUAUCGUGUGACGAUUGCCAGUUCGUAUAGACAGCGUUAUCACCUUCGAGAGGGGUAAAUAUGCUGGAGUCGGCCGGCCUCUAUGUAUUGUGCUAACGCCCUGAACUUUUUGUUUAGAUCAUUCACGAUACAUGAACUUGGCAAUAAAUUUACCCUCCUAUGCCUAUUUGGUUGAACGUGGUGUCAUUAACUACAAUGCGCCGUGAAUAUUCGUAUCUGUUUAUAUCAUUCUCGACUUAUUAUUAUAUGAUAUAAGCAAUUUUGCAGAAAUUUUGCUUUCUUAGCAAAACAACCUGCUUUUGAAGCAUUUUGCGCAAAUCCGCAAAAUCGAUAGAUUUGCUUCCACCAUUAUACUCCGAGUUCUUCCAUAGAUUUGACCUAGACUACUUUUUUUCUUAUAAUAGGAAUAAGUAGCACUACUAUCUCUACACUGAGCAUGUUCUAUUAGUAGAUAUCCGUACCGUAUAACACUACGCACGGCAGUAAUUGAAUUACUGAAGCGUUUUCCUCAGGGCAAAGAUCCUUAUCCCAAGCUCUGCAUCCAUAAGAUACAGUAUUUUUUCGAGCGGUUUACCUCUUUGCUAAGUAUAUGAAAUUCCAUGUUAAUAUAGUUACGUUCCGCGAUAUCUACCUCUUUUCGUUUUAAUGUAUAUCAUAACUAACAAUGGUUGUCGUUGGCAGACUCAGCAUCUAGUUCCUGUCAUUAUCCUGAAAGUGAUACCAUCAUCAUUGCAGUUUGGAUAUCACAAAAUCCCGUCGGCCGUUUGCUCCGAACGAUUAAACGACACGGCAUAGCGGGUGCUUGGAACUUGGAAGGUGCUAGUCUUUAUCUUAUCGAUCAGUCGAAUCAAUUGGAAAUUUCUUCGACUACGGCGAGAUUAGAUGCCAGAAAAAUGUUUGCUAUAUCGGAAGCGACUUUUUUUCUGUAGUCUUCCGCCGCCGUAGCUCCUUAUUCGGUCACUUCGCUAUUCUGACUGAUCAACUACAAACAGGCUGACAAGGUAGCAUAAAAUACCUGCGGAGUGCUCAUCCAACUCGUUAUAACGCAGCUGUUCACAUAUGGUCG